AUUGAACGCUGGCGGCAUGCCUUACACAUGCAAGUCGAACGGCAGCACGGGUGCUUGCACCUGGUGGCGAGUGGCGAACGGGUGAGUAAUACAUCGGAACGUACCUUAUCGUGGGGGAUAACGCAGCGAAAGCUGUGCUAAUACCGCAUACGCCCUGAGGGGGAAAGCGGGGAAUCGCAAGACCUCGCGCGAUUAGAGCGGCCGAUGCCUGAUUAGCUUGUUGGUGGGGUAAAAGCCCACCAAGGGGACGAUCAGUAGCUGGUCUGAGAGGACGAUCAGCCACACGGGGACUGAGACCCGGCCCAGACUCCUCCGGGAGGCAGCAGUGGGGAAUUUUGGACAAUGGGGGCAACCCUGAUCCAGCAAUGCCGCGUGAGUGAAGAAGGCCUUCGGGUUGUAAAGCUCUUUUGUCAGGGAAGAAACACCGGCUCUAACACAGUCCGGGAAUGACGGUACCUGAAGAAUAAGCACCGGCUAACUACGUGCCAGCCGCCGCCGUAA
rnacentral:rRNA from 1 species